rnacentral:rRNA from 1 species
GAGCGGCAGCGCAGUCUUCGGACGGGCGGCGAGCGGCGGACGGCUGAGUAACGCGUGGGAAUCUACCCCAAAGUGAGGGAUAACGCACCGAAAGGUGUGCUAAUACCGCAUACGGUCUUCGGAUUAAAGUUUUAACGCUCUGGGAAGAGCCCGCGUACUAUUAGAUAGUUGGUGAGGUAAAGGCUCACCAAGUCGACGAUGGUUAACUGGUCUGAGAGGAUGAUCAGUCAGAUUGGAACUGAGACACAGUCCAAACUCCUACGGGAGGCAGCAGUGAGGAAUAUUCCGCAAUGGGGGAAACCCUGACGGAGCAAUGCCGCGUGCAGGAUGAAGGCCCUCGGGUCGUAAACUGCUUUUAUAUGAGAAGAAUAUGACGGUAACAUAUGAAUAAGGGACGGCUAACUACGUGCCAGCAGCCGCGGUCAUACGUAGGUCCCAAGCGUUAUCCGGAGUGACUGGGCGUAAAGAGUUGCGUAGGCGGCUCGUUAAGCGUGAAAUGAAAUUUAUCGGCUCAACCGGUAAACUAUUUCGCGAACUGACGGGCUCGAGAGUAUGAGAGGUUACUGGAAUUUCUAGUGUAGCAGUGAAAUGCGUAGAUAUUAGAAAGAACACCAACGGCGUAGGCAGGUAACUGGCAUACAUCUGACGCUGAGGCACGAAAGCGUGGGGAGCGAACCGGAUUAGAUACCCGGGUAGUCCACGCCGUAAACGAUGAAUGUUAAUUGUCGGAGGUAUCGACCCCUUCGGUAAUAAAGCUAACGCGUUAAACAUUCCGCCUGUGGAGUACGGCCGCAAGGCUAAAACAUAAAGGAAUUGACGGGACCCGCAC